rnacentral:lncRNA from 1 species
CACCUGUGGAAUAUGGAGGUUCUCAGGCUAGGGGUCCAAUUGGAGCUACAGCUGUGGGCCUACACCACAGCCACAGCUACAACAACAUCAGAUCCAAGCCAUGUCUGCGACCUACACCACAGCCCACAGCAAAGCCAGAUCCUUAACCCACUGAGCGAGGCCAGGAAUCGAACCUGCAACUUCAUGGUUCCUAGUUGGAUUUAUUUCCACUGCACCACAAUGGGAACUCUGCUAACUUUUUAUUUUAAGACACUCUUGGCCAAGUUUAACAUUACUUGUGAUUGACCACAUCCUAAAGGACACAAUGCUACCCUAAGUAUACAAAUAAAGAUGUUCAGUGAAACUAAUAUUCAUGAGACAUGAAUAAGAAUUGCGUCUCAAAGCUGUACAGUCCCUAUAAGUUUUCCUGAAUUAUCAGGAACUCAAAAACAGACACUAGAUUUUUUUAUAGCUUCAUCUUCACUCCUGGGGCAAUUUCCUCAUAGUGGGAAACUUUAGCUAGAGUGUAGAUUUCCCCCAGGAUACAGUUAAUAGAGUGCAUCCCUCCUAGCCUGUUUUGUGGGGGGCAGUUAUGUUGCUUGAAGAUAGAAAAUGAAUCAGGAGGAAGAGAUGCUAGCAAUGAAUCUCAAAAUUGUCAUGAACACAUGAGGGGAGGGAGGAUAUACCACAGGAGUUAAAUCAUUGAGAUGGUAGGAAAGAGGACGAGAUUUUUUUUUUCUUUUUAGGGCUGCACCCAUGGCAUAUGGAAGUUCCCAGGCUAGGGAUAGUAUCGGAACAGUAGCUGCCAGUCUACACCACAGCCACAGCAACACUGGAUCUGAGCCAUAUCUUCAAACUCAUGACAAUGCCAGAUGUUUAAGCUACUGAGCGGGGCAAGGGAUUGAACGGGUGUCCUUGUGGAUACGAGUCAGGUUCAUUACCACUGAGUCACAACAGGAACUCCCAAGAGAACAAGAUUUUAAUUCCACCUAUGCCACAUACUGUCCUUUUCUAUGCAAAUUUCAUUACCUCCUUAAGCCUUAAUUUUCUACUCUGUAGAGUGAAAUAAUAGUUAUGCUUACAUUAUUUGGUUAUUAUUAGGAUUAAAUAAAGUAAUGUUCUUAAUACAAUAUCUGGUCUAUAACACACAUUCAUUAUGGCAACACUGACUUUACAAAAUCAAAAUGUGUUCCCUCAAUAAAAAACGGAAAUAGUGUCAUUUGCAGCUACAUGGAUGGACCUAUAGAUUAUCAUACUCAGUGAAGUAAGUCAGGCAGAGAAAGAUAAUUAUCAUAUAUACUAAUAAAAAUGAUACAAAAUAACUUAUUUAUAAAACAAAAACAAACGCACAGAUUUCAAAACCAGUCUUACAGUUACCACAGGUGAGAAACUGUUGAUGGGAGAGAAGAAUUAGGAGGGUGGGAAUAACAUAUACACACCACUGUAUAAAAUAGAUGAUUAAUGAGAACCUAGAGUAUAACACAAUAAAGUUGACUCAAUAGUUUGUAAUAACCUAUAUGGGAAAAAAAGAAUGGAGAUAUUUAUACGUAUGACUGAUUCACUGUGCUGUACACUUGAAACUAAUACAACAUUGUAAGUCAAUAAAAUUAAAUAAAAAAUAGAUAAAUUUUAAAAAUGGGAGUUCCCAUUGUGGCUCAGUGGUUUAAGAAUCCCACAUAGUGUCCAUGAGGAAAUGGGCUUGAUCCCCGGCCUUGCUCAGUGGGUUAAGGAUCCUGUGUUGCAGCAAACUAUGGCAUAUGCUGCAUAUGUGGCUCAGAUCCAGCAUUGCUAUGGCUGUGGUGUAGGUCUGCCGCUGCAGCUCCGAUUUGACCCCUAGCCCAGGAACUUUCAUAUGCUACAGGUGCAGCCGUAAAAAAACAAACAAAAAAAUGUGUUUCCCAACAAAGAAGGCCCUCCGCUAGAUUUAGUCUUUUAUCUUCUCAUUUUCAGGCAAAGAUGGACUCUGCAUAUUCUCUUUUUUUAAACCCCUGAGAUUUGGCUUUGGCAACUUCUCACUGUGCCCUUGUUGCUUAUGAUGAAUAGUUGAUCUGACUCGAUGUCACCUUUGAAAAAAUAGGGGGUUUAGAGAGUUUCAUAAUAUUUUCUUACUGUAGUCCUUGCCUCCUUUGUAACACAGACCUGAUAGCCAGCACCGAUUCUUAAAUCUCUCCUUGGGGCUUCCCUGGGGACAAGGAAAUGAUAAAAGAAGGCAGUUGCAGAAUAACAAAAUUUGUUUUAGGCUUGCUGCCUGGUUGUUCAUAACUCCCCUGCCUAAUUUUGUUUACAUCAGUAUUCAUAAACAGGAAGCGGAUGAAUCUAAUCUUCCCCUGCACAUCUUGUGUGUGUGUUACAGAACUGUGUUUUGGUUAAAACUUUUGACUUGUAUACACUAAACGCUUUUGUGAAGCAUGGGCUCUCUAAUUUUUUCUACUCAAAGGGUGGUCUAAGGACCAGUAGCAUCGGAAUCUCCUGAAACCAGUAUGAAGGCAAGUUCCUGGCCUGCCCCUGACCUACUGAAGCAGAGUCUCUAAGGGCCCAGUACCUGGGCUUUAUUGGGGAGCCAGGUGAUUCUGAUUCAGACUUAAAUCUGAAACCCCCUGCACUCUUUCACUCCAUUAUUUCAUUUUCUGCUCUUCUUACUGCAUUUAUUUCUCUCCUUCACAUCACCUAAAGGCUGUUGACGGGGCAGAUCCCUGGUUUAUUAUUCUUAUUAAUGAUGUCUAUUCCCACCUUUUUCUGUACCAUUCACAAACCUGCCAUGUACCUACAGUAUGUGAAUAAUUCCUGAGCACAAAAUGAGGCACAA